GUGCUCACUUGGGCAGCACAUAUACUAAAAUGGAAACCAUACAGAGAAGAUUAGCAUGGCCCCUGGGAAAGAAUGACAUGAAAAUGCAUGAAGCAUUCCAUAUUAAA
ensembl:snRNA U6 U6 spliceosomal RNA